AGCCACGUCGCAGGGCGAAGGCCGGUCUCCAAAACCGCGCUAUGAAGGUUCGAUUCCUUCCGGGGCUGCCA
rnacentral:tRNA from 1 species